GACGAACGCUGGCGGCGUGCUUAACACAUGCAAGUCGAACGGAAAGGUCUCUUCGGAGACACUCGAGUGGCGAACGGGUGAGUAACACGUGGGCAAUCUGCCCUGCACACCGGGAUAAGCCUGGGAAACUGGGUCUAAUACCGGAUAGGACCACUUGGCGCAUGCCUUGUGGUGGAAAGCUUUUGCGGUGUGGGAUGGGCCCGCGGCCUAUCAGCUUGUUGGUGGGGUGACGGCCUACCAAGGCGACGACGGGUAGCCGGCCUGAGAGGGUGUCCGGCCACACUGGGACUGAGAUACGGCCCAGACUCCUACGGGAGGCAGCAGUGGGGAAUAUUGCACAAUGGGCGCAAGCCUGAUGCAGCGACGCCGCGUGGGGGAUGACGGCCUUCGGGUUGUAAACCUCUUUCACCAUCGACGAAGGUCCGGGUUCUCUCGGAUUGACGGUAGGUGGAGAAGAAGCACCGGCCAACUACGUGCCAGCAGCCGCGGUAAUACGUAGGGUGCGAGCGUUGUCCGGAAUUACUGGGCGUAAAGAGCUCGUAGGUGGUUUGUCGCGUUGUUCGUGAAAUCUCACGGCUUAACUGUGAGCGUGCGGGCGAUACGGGCAGACUAGAGUACUGCAGGGGAGACUGGAAUUCCUGGUGUAGCGGUGGAAUGCGCAGAUAUCAGGAGGAACACCGGUGGCGAAGGCGGGUCUCUGGGCAGUAACUGACGCUGAGGAGCGAAAGCGUGGGGAGCGAACAGGAUUAGAUACCCUGGUAGUCCACGCCGUAAACGGUGGGUACUAGGUGUGGGUUUCCUUCCUUGGGAUCCGUGCCGUAGCUAACGCAUUAAGUACCCCGCCUGGGGAGUACGGCCGCAAGGCUAAAACUCAAAGGAAUUGACGGGGGCCCGCACAAGCGGCGGAGCAUGUGGAUUAAUUCGAUGCAACGCGAAGAACCUUACCUGGGUUUGACAUGCACAGGACGCGUCUAGAGAUAGGCGUUCCCUUGUGGCCUGUGUGCAGGUGGUGCAUGGCUGUCGUCAGCUCGUGUCGUGAGAUGUUGGGUUAAGUCCCGCAACGAGCGCAACCCUUGUCUCAUGUUGCCAGCGGGUAAUGCCGGGGACUCGUGAGAGACUGCCGGGGUCAACUCGGAGGAAGGUGGGGAUGACGUCAAGUCAUCAUGCCCCUUAUGUCCAGGGCUUCACACAUGCUACAAUGGCCGGUACAAAGGGCUGCGAUGCCGCGAGGUUAAGCGAAUCCUUUUAAAGCCGGUCUCAGUUCGGAUCGGGGUCUGCAACUCGACCCCGUGAAGUCGGAGUCGCUAGUAAUCGCAGAUCAGCAACGCUGCGGUGAAUACGUUCCCGGGCCUUGUACACACCGCCCGUCACGUCAUGAAAGUCGGUAACACCCGAAGCCAGUGGCCUAACCCUCGGGAGGGAGCUGUCGAAGGUGGGAUCGGCGAUUGGGACGAAGUCGUAAC
rnacentral:rRNA from 1 species